UAUGGUCUUCACCUACAACGGAAACAAAAUGAAUAGAAAUAAGCUGGAAUAAAUUAGGAAAGGACCUUUCAAAAUUCUAAGAAGGAUUUCAAACUCCAUAUACGAAGUGGAUAACGAUAAUCGGAGAUCUGAAGGGAAUCUCUUCCACUCGAACUACAGAAUCGAUCCCUGAAUUAUCCCCAGAUUACGAUCUUACAAAUCGAUUUUCACUACGCCAUGCCGUUAGAUGUGAAGCUACGGAUUGUCAUGAACGUGAACGCAAGGGGGGAGAAAGUGGAAUGCAUAGAAUCCAUAAGAAAACCAGAAGAUGAAGGAUGUUAUGUCUUUCCUCCAGAAUAUCAAGCAAGAGAUCAUCAUCCGCCGUUCUUCAGUUUAUCGAUAGUGAAGAAAGCCGCAAACAGCUUAACAAAGAAGAAUCGGAGAUCAUCCCCACAAGGAAAAUAAAGACCGAAUCCGAAAAGCCCAAUCUUCAAAUAGAAGCAUUAUUAGAGAUCUUCCGGAAACAAAACAUGCAUGAGAGGUAAGGCACGGACUUUGACAUAAAACAAUUUGAUGGAACGCAAAGAGCCACAGAUUGGAUAUUAGAGUAAGAAACGGAAUGCGAAAGAUACGAAAUUCAAAACGACGAAAAAAGGAUCAAGAAUUUGAAGAAAUAUUUGGGAAAAACAGCAUCAGAAUGGUACCAGACAAAUCUGUUGAAGGAUGAAGAAUACAAGUGGGAAAAUUGGAAGGCGGUUCAUUCACCAAAUAUGCCAUAAAACAGGACCGAUUAAUAUUGGAAGUAAGGAGGAAGACCUCCGAUGAGACAAGGAUAAAUGUAAUUGUUAGUCGAUUACCCAUACACAUUCAAGAUAAAGUCUAUAAAGAAGCAGUACAAUCAACAGGUGACCUAAUCGACUCUUGGGGCAAUAGGAAGACCACAGGAAAGGAAGAAAAAGUCAAGAGAGUAAUGCAAGAUUGAACAGAAAGCCAGAGCCACCACGCAAGAAUCUACCGUGUAUGAUUUGUGAAGCACUGAAUUUGCCAGGCCAAUUUUACCCAAUACAAGUAUGCAGAAACAGGAACAGAAAUGCACAGAGGAACCAAAACCAGGUAAAUUCAUUAGAAGCAUUCAUUACAGAAAGUAAUGAAGCAAAAAACCAGAUGAGAAUGGAAAAAACUAAAAUGCCCGGAAAAAUACGAAUCACUAAUAAAGCUCCUUGUUAGAAUCAACGACCAGAAAGAGAUUGAGGGCUCCAAAAAAUCAUUGACCAAAUAAAGGCAGAUAUAAUAAAAGACAAGAGUAUGUUUAAAACUAUCAGUGGGAAGGACUUCACGAAUAGCGGGGCAAAACUUAGAAUGAAAAUUAAUAAAGUAGAGAAAGAAACAAAUGUUUAUAUAGCGCAUAAUGAUAACUUCACAUAUGAUCUCAUCUUAGGGCUGGACGCCAUAAGAGAGUUCAAGUUGAAACAAGAUGAGAAUUUGAGAGUUAGUCAAAAAGUAGAUGAUAAAGUAGAAAUAAUAUUUAAUAGAAAUAAUUUAAUAGAAAUAAUAUUUAAUAGAGAAUUUGAGAGUUAGUCAAAAAGUAGAUGAUAAAGUAGAAAUAAUAUUUAAUAGAAAUAAUUUAAUAGAAAUAAUAUUUAAUAGAGAAUUUGAGAGUUAGUCAAAAAGUAGAUGUAAAAGUAGAAAUAAUAUUUAAUAGAAAUAAUUUAAUAGAAAUAAUAUUUAAUAGAGAAUUUGAGAGUUAGUCAAAAAGUAGAUGACAAAGUAGAAAUAAUAUUUAAUAGAAAAGAAGAAAGAAGAAAUAAUCAGAGAAGAAAGAUAAACGUUACCGAAUACAAGAAGAUGGACAACCUAGGUCACCUAAAUCACCUAUAAAAAAAAAGAGAUAAGCCAGCUUAUAGAGAAAUAUAAAGACAUAUUUGCCAAACACAAAUUCGAUGUGAGAAAUAGGAAA